GACGCACGCUGGCGGCGUACUUAACACAUGCCAGUCGAACGAAGUGGCGAACGGGUGAGUACUACGUGAGUAACUUCCCUCCUUUUUGGGAUAAGCCUUGGAAACGGGGUCUAAUACCGAAUACAGGGGGAUGGGCUCGCGGCCUAUCAGCUUGUUGGUGGGGUUAUGGCCUACCAAGGCGGUGACGGGUAGCAGGCCUGAGAGGGGCCCGGCCACAUUGGGCUGAGCUACGGCCCAAACGCCUACGGGAGGCAGCAGUGGGGAAGAGUGCACAAUGGGGGAAACCCUGAUGCAGCAACGCCGCGUGCGGGAUGACGGCCUUCGGGGUGUAAACCGCUUUCAGCCAUGACGCGGUAGUGGCAGAAGACUCACCGGCUAACUACGGGCCAGCAGCCGCGGUAAUUC
rnacentral:rRNA from 1 species